AUUCUAGUAGCUUAAAACC
rnacentral:tRNA from 1 species